rnacentral:miRNA from 1 species
GAGGUGGGAGGAUCACUUGAACCCGGGAGUUUGAGGCUGCAGUGAGCCACGAUCAUGCCACUGCACUCCAGCCUGAGUGACAGAGCAAGACUCUGUCUC